rnacentral:rRNA from 1 species
UACUAGAGUAGCACUCGCAUAUCAAUAAGCGGAGGAAAAGAAACUAACAAGGAUUCCCCUAGUAACGGCGAGUGAAGCGGGAAGAGCUCAAAUUUGAAAUCUUAAAGGGUUUCCCUUUACGAAUUGUAGUUUAAAGAAGUGUUUUCUGUUGAGGUUUUGGUAAAAGUUCUUUGGAAUAGGACAGUCAGUAGAGGGUGAGAAUCCCGUAUUUGACCUUUACUUUCAACUUUGUGAUACACUUUCAAAGAGUCGGAUUGUUUGGGAAUGCAGUCCAAAAUGGGUGGUAAAUAUUUCAUCUAAAGCUAAAUAUUGGCGAGAGACCGAUAGCGAACAAGUACCGUGAGGGAAAGAUGAAAAGAACUUUGAAAAGAGAGUUAAACAGUACGUGAAAUUGUCAAAAGGGUAGCGUUUGACACCAGUGUUGUUUUUCUGAAAAUCAAUUAAAGAACUGUUUAUGCUAAGUUGUUUAGACUUUAUCAGCUAUCUGUUUAGUUUUGAGCUUUUCUUUAAUGCACUUUUCAGUUAACAAGUCAACAUCAAUUUCUUUUGCUGUAAAAAAGCUUGAGGAAGGUGGCUUGAGAUUCGUCUUAAGUGUUUAUAGCCUCUUGCCUAUGCAGUCGGAGAGAUUGAGGUCUGCAGCGUAGAUCCUUCGGGGCUAAAUGCAUUUGUGCUAAGUUAUAGCAUUUUAUAGACAACUUGUUGACUAUGAUUUGUCUUGUAGCUUACUCGCUUAUGUUAUUUUACCUACGCUUAGGAUGUUGAUCUCUCACAGUCGAGC